CCGCGUGAGUGAAGAAGGUUUUCGGAUCGUAAAACUCUGUUGUAAGGGAAGAACAAGUACGGUAGUAACUGGCCGUACCUUGACGGUACCUUAUUAGAAAGCCACGGCUAACUACGUGCCAGCAGCCGCGGUAAUACGUAGGUGGCAAGCGUUGUCCGGAAUUAUUGGGCGUAAAGCGCGCGCAGGCGGUCCUUUAAGUCUGAUGUGAAAGCCCACGGCUCAACCGUGGAAGGUCAUUGGAAACUGGGGGACUUGAGUGCAGAAGAGGUUAGUGGAAUUCCAAGUGUAGCGGUGAAAUGCGUAGAGAUUUGGAGGAACACCAGUGGCGAAGGCGACUAACUGGUCUGUAACUGACGCUGAGGCGCGAAAGCGUGGGGAGCAAACAGGAUUAGAUACCCUGGUAGUCCACGCCGUAAACGAUGAGUGCUAAGUGUUAGGGGGUUUCCGCCCCUUAGUGCUGCAGUAAACGCAUUAAGCACUCCGCCUGGGGAGUACGGCCGCAAGGCUGAAACUCAAAGGAAUUGACGGGGGCCCGCACAAGCGGUGGAGCAUGUG
rnacentral:rRNA from 1 species